UAACCCUUCUUCUGGUCUUUAAUGGAAUUUACACCUCAACUUCUCAAAGCUCCUCAACUACUCAAAGCUCCUCAACUGCCCAAAGCACCACAACUGCUCUAAGCACCACAACUGCUAUAAGCACCACAACUGCUCCAAGGACAAUUUUAACAUCACUAGGAAGAUCCACGCUCUCAGUUACAACCACUACAACCACCACAACAGCAUCUGCACCAAAAGCACCUACUGGUUCAACCAUACAGGCAACACAGGGAGGAACCACACUGAUGGCUACAGGGUCAACAAUGGCUACAACGUCAUCAACCUCCAUCAUCACCGGGUCAACCAUACAGUCAAUACUCGGUGUUUUUAUCUGGAUGAUGUGGCUCCUUCAGUAAAGCACUUAGGAGAAAGUGGAGGAAAAGCAGCACACAGCAAUCAAUUUAAGAGUAAUUUUGCUGCCUUAAAUAUUAAGUUUAGAGUUAUUAUCGUUGAUCUUUAAAGUUCGGCUAUGUUAUCUAUUUAUGCUUGAUAUUUCUCAAUAUUUGUUCUUGUCACAUUUGUGAAGUAUUAGGAAUAUAUUAGCAAAUAAAAUAAUUUUCUCCAAAUAUGUUUUGACACAGAUUCAUUACAUAUAAAACAUUCCGAAAGUAAUAUAUUCAAACGAAAUCUAUAAAAAAUUUCAGAACUAUUAAAAGAAAUUGAUAGAAUGUUUCAGUGUUCAUCCAAACACCAUAAGAAAUGUAUCACCACAAUAAUUGUAUAUCCGUAUAUGAGAAACUUAGAGCAAGCAUUAUACAACAUCUUUGCUUAAAUGACACCAUAAGUUCUACAUUUCUUUCAAAUAUGUCAACUAUUUUAAAUCUGUGGUUUCAAUAAACCAUAAAUGUCACAUUUUUUCUUAGCUUUAUUGAGAAUUAUAAAGAAUAUUUUAAUUAAUCAAGUUUCAAACACAUAAAGACUAAUCUCUUAAGAUGCCUUUUUUGUGUAUGUUGUACUAUUUGUACUACUACUGAUUGUUAUUAACCACAUUCAUGUAUAUGUUUGUAUAAACCUAUUUUUCCUACCCAUUACAGUUUUUCUGAAUUGCUAAAACACAUUUUUUGAAACCAUUACUCAUUUUCUCAAAACCUUAAACACAAAUCCCAAUU